rnacentral:lncRNA from 1 species
AGAAAAGCCAAUAUGAGAAGCAAUUUGAUCAACAAUCACUCCCUACUGUUUGGAGUAACCACCCUCAUGACUUUCCAUGUGGGAGCUGACAUUUGAAGUAAAUUCUUAUCUCUAUUCAAAGCAUCUAAAUACAAAUGGUAUGUCCCUCCUAGCUGGCAAACAUGUAGGCCUCGCCUGGAUUUUCAGUUUCAACUAUUUUGGAAGAUGUCUGUUUCUUUGAAGUAUCCCUAAACUAUAUUUUGUGUCACCACAUAGCCUACAUUCUAAAGUUUAAAUUAAACUAACCCAAAUACAUCUUCCAAAUAUGGUGAAAUAUACCCCAAAAUGUUCUAGCCACUUUUGCAUGAUGUGGUAAUACAAAAUUAAAUUUACAAAAAUAUGCAGCUCUUUAUAAAUAUAUCAAUAUAAGUAUGAUAUAUUAAGCUAUAAAACAAAAAUACUAAAGUUAAAGCUGCCAAAAAUUUUGUAGUGAGGUCAGGAAUGGUGUUAUAUGCACUAGCAAGAAGUCUAAAAGGAAAAUUAAGAAAACAGUUCGAUUUACAAUGACAUCAAAAAAAAAAAAAAAAAAAAAAAAAAAAAAAAAAAAAAAACAUCAAAACAAUAAAAUGCUUAGGAAUAAAUUUAACCAAGGCAGCACAAGACUUGUGCACUAAAAGCUACAAAACAUUGCUGAAAG